rnacentral:lncRNA from 1 species
UCCACGUAGCAUGGUCGUGCAAUGUUUUCCUGAUAUGUCACCUAGUAUUUUUAUACCUUAGUCAAAGCUCAAAACAUGGUUCAAGUGGGUUCAUAUGAAAUAUGGUGAUUAGGUUCUGGUUUAGCUAAUCUAAUUGCAUUGGAAGACACCUGCAUCUUGGUUCCGCUAAAGUUUUCAAUAAGAGAUUUUCUAAAGACAUAUAAGAUUACCUUGC